GACGAACGCUGGCGGCGUGCUUAACACAUGCAAGUCGAACGGUAAGGCUCCAGCUUGCUGGGGUACACGAGUGGCGAACGGGUGAGUAACACGUGGGUGACCUGCCCUGCACUUCGGGAUAAGCCUGGGAAACUGGGUCUAAUACCGGAUAGGACCGCACCGUGAGGGUGUGGUGGAAAGUUUUUUCGGUGUGGGAUGGGCCCGCGGCCUAUCAGCUUGUUGGUGGGGUAAUGGCCUACCAAGGCGGCGACGGGUAGCCGGCCUGAGAGGGUGGACGGCCACAUUGGGACUGAGACACGGCCAAGACUCCUACGGGAGGCAGCAGUGGGGAAUAUUGCACAAUGGGCGGAAGCCGGAUGCAGCGAGGCCGCGUGGGGGAGGACGGCCUUCGGGUUGUAAACGCCUUUCGCCGUCGACGAAGGGUUGCUGACGGUAGAUGGAGAAGAAGCACCGGCUAACUACGUG
rnacentral:rRNA from 1 species